rnacentral:rRNA from 1 species
GUGAGGAAUUUUCCGCAAUGGGCGAAAGCCUGACGGAGCAAUGCCGCGUGAAGGAUGAAGGCCUAUGGGUUGUAAACUUCUUUUCUCAGAAAAGAAUUAUGACGGUAUCUGAGGAAUAAGCAUCGGCUAACUCUGUGCCAGCAGCCGCGGUAAGACAGAGGAUGCAAGCGUUAUCCGGAAUGAUUGGGCGUAAAGCGUCUGUAGGUUGUUUAAAAAGUAUUCUGUCAAAGAUUAGGGCUUAACCCUAGAUAGGCAGAAGAAACUUUUAAGCUAGAGUUUGGUAGAGGCAGAGAGAAUUCCCGGUGGAGCGGUGAAAUGCGUAGAUAUCGGGAGGAACACCAAAGGCGAAGGCACUCUGCUGGGCCAAUACUAACACUGAGAGACGAAAGCGAGGGGAGCAAAUGGGAUUAGAAACCCGAGUAGUCC